GGACCACUUUUUUUUAAAGUUCAGGCCAUACGGACAGCCGGGUCCACUGCCGA
ncrna:unclassified sequences Streptococcus sRNA SpF59 (ldcC RNA)